rnacentral:snRNA from 1 species
AUACUUACCUGUCAGGGGAGACACCAUGAUCACGAAAGUGGUUUUCCCAGGGCGAGGAUUAUCCAUUGCACUCUGGAUGUGCUGACCCCUGCGAUUUCCCCUAAUGCGGGAAACUCGACAGCAGAAUUUGUGGUGCUGGGGGACUGCGUUCGCGCUUUCCUUUG